UGGGGAAUAUUGGACAAUGGGCGAAAGCCUGAUCCAGCCAUGCCGCGUGUGUGAAGAAGGCCUUUUGGUUGUAAAGCACUUUAAGCGAGGAGGAGGCUACUUGGAUUAAUACUCUAGGAUAGUGGACGUUACUCGCAGAAUAAGCACCGGCUAACUCUGUGCCAGCAGCCGCGGUAAUACAGAGGGUGCGAGCGUUAAUCGGAUUUACUGGGCGUAAAGCGUGCGUAGGCGGCUUCUUAAGUCGGAUGUGAAAUCCCUGAGCUUAACUUAGGAAUUGCAUUCGAUACGGGGAAGCUAGAGUAUAGGUGAGGAUGGUAGAAUGCCAGGUGUAGCGGUGAAAUGCGUAGAGAUCUGGAGGAAUACCGAUGGCGAAGGCAGCCAUCUGGCCUAAUACUGACGCUGAGGUACGAAAGCAUGGGGAGCAAACAGG
rnacentral:rRNA from 1 species